GAUGAACGCUGGCGGCGUGCUUAAUACAUGCAAGUCGAACGAAGGUUGUAGCAAUACAUCCUUAGUGGCGAACGGGCGAGUAACGCGUUGGUGACCUGCCCCGAAGUGCGGGAUAACAGUCCGAAAGGAUUGCUAAUACCGCAUGGUUUCAUUUGGAUUAGAUGCCAGAUGAGCAAAGGCGAAAGUCGCUUCGGGAGGGCUUGCGUCCCAUCAGCUAGUUGGUAGGGUAAUGGCCUACCAAGGCAAUGACGGGUAGGGGACCUGAGAGGGUGGCCCCCCACAAUGGAACUGAAACACGGUCCAUACACCUACGGGUGGCAGCAGUAGGGAAUAUUGGUUAAUGUGCGAAAGCGCGAACCAGCAACGCCGCGUGCACGGAUGAAGGCCUUCGGGUGUAAAGUGCUUUUUGAGGGGAUGAGGAAGGACAGUACCCUCAGAAUAAGUCUCGGCCAACUACGUGCCAGCAGCCGCGUAACUGUAGUCGU
rnacentral:rRNA from 1 species